rnacentral:rRNA from 1 species
GAUGAACGCUGGCGGCGUGCCUAAUACAUGCAAGUCGAGCGAACAGACGAGGCGCUUGCUCCUCUGACGUUAGCGGCGGACGGGUGAGUAACACGUGGAUAACCUACCUAUCAGACUGGGAUAAUUUCGGGAAACCGGAGCUUAUCCCGGAUAAUCUAUUGCACCGUAUGGUUCAAUAGUGAAAGACGGUUUUGCUGUCUCUUAUAGAUGGAUCUGGGCCGCAUUAGCUAGUUGGUACGGUAACGGGUUACCACGGCUACGAUGCGUAGCCGACCUGUGUGGGUGGUAGGCCACCUGGGAACGUGAACAGCGACAAGACGCCUACGGGAGGCAGCAGUAGGGAACCGUACGCAAUAGGCGAAAGCCUGACGGAGCGACGCCACGUGAGUGAUAGAAGUCUUCGGAGCGGAAAACUCUGUUAUUAGGUAAGAACAAAUGUGUAAGUAACUAUGCACGUCUUGACGGUACCUAAUCAGAAAGCCACGGCUAACUACGUG